rnacentral:rRNA from 1 species
GAUGAACGCUAGCGGCAGGCCUAAUACAUGCAAGUCGAACGGUGUCUUCGGACAUAGUGGCGCACGGGUGCGUAACACGUAUGCAACCUACCUUACAUUGGGGGAUAGCCUUUCGAAAGGGAGACUAAUACCGCAUAAGACAGUAGCUGGGCAUCCAGCAGCUGUUAAAGAUUUAUCGAUGUAAGCUGGGCAUGCGUCCAAUUAGCUAGUUGGUGAGGUAACGGCUCACCAAGGCAAUGAUUGGUAGGGGAACUGAGAGGUCAAUCCCCCACACUGGCACUGAGAUACGGGCCAGACUCCUACGGGAGGCAGCAGUAGGGAAUAUUGGGCAAUGGACGCAAGUCUGACCCAGCCAUGCCGCGUGCAGGAUGAAGGCGUUAUGCGUUGUAAACUGCUUUUAUACAGGAAGGAACGACUCUUGCGAGAGGCAUUGACGGUACUGUAUGAAUAAGCACCGGCUAACUCCGUGCCAGCAGCCGCAGUAACAC